CGUAGGCAGCAAGCGUUGUUCGGAAUUACUGGGCGUAAAGAGUGUGUAGGCGGUGUGCUAAGUUCGGUGUGAAAUCUCCCGGCUCAACUGGGAGGGUGCGCCGGAAACUGGCAUGGCUGGAGCGUGGGAGAGGAAAGCGGAAUUCCUGGUGUAGCGGUGAAAUGCGUAGAGAUCAGGAGGAACACCAGCGGUGUAGACGGCUUUCUGGACCAUAGCUGACGCUGAGACACGAAAGCGUGGGUAGCAAACAGGAUUAGAUACCCUGGUAGUCCACGCCCUAAACGAUGCAUACUUGGUGUCGGCCCUUCAGUGGGUCGGUGCCGGAGCUAACGCGUUAAGUAUGCCGCCUGGGGAGUACGGUCGCAAGGCUG
rnacentral:rRNA from 1 species